UUUAUGGAGAGUUUGAUCCUGGCUCAGGAUGAACGCUGGCGGCGUGCCUAAUACAUGCAAGUCGAGCGAACAGACAAGGAGCUUGCUCCUUUGACGUUAGCGGCGGACGGGUGAGUAACACGUGGGUAACCUACCUAUAAGACUGGGAUAACUUCGGGAAACCGGAGCUAAUACCGGAUAAUAUUUCGAACCGCAUGGUUCGAUAGUGAAAGAUGGUUUUGCUAUCACUUAUAGAUGGACCCGCGCCGUAUUAGCUAGUUGGUAAGGUAACGGCUUACCAAGGCGACGAUACGUAGCCGACCUGAGAGGGUGAUCGGCCACACUGGAACUGAGACACGGUCCAGACUCCUACGGGAGGCAGCAGUAGGGAAUCUUCCGCAAUGGGCGAAAGCCUGACGGAGCAACGCCGCGUGAGUGAUGAAGGUCUUCGGAUCGUAAAACUCUGUUAUUAGGGAAGAACAUACGUGUAAGUAACUAUGCACGUCUUGACGGUACCUAAUCAGAAAGCCACGGCUAACUACGUGCCAGCAGCCGCGGUAAUACGUAGGUGGCAAGCGUUAUCCGGAAUUAUUGGGCGUAAAGCGCGCGUAGGCGGUUUUUUAAGUCUGAUGUGAAAGCCCACGGCUCAACC
rnacentral:rRNA from 1 species